rnacentral:ncRNA from 1 species
UAUAUUUGCUCCUCAAUUCUGAUCGACAGAAUUGUUUACAUAAAAAUUAUUUAAACAAAUAUUGGAAUG